rnacentral:rRNA from 2 species
UCACUCCGCUAUUACCAUAGUUACCGCAUGGUAACUAUGUAAAAGGUGGCUAUGCUACCGCUUUUGGAUGGGCCCGCGGCGCAUUAGCUAGUUGGUGAGGUAAAGGCUUACCAAGGCAAUGAUGCGUAGCCGAACUGAGAGGUUGAUCGGCCACAUUGGGACUGAGACACGGCCCAAACUCCUACGGGAGGCAGCAGUAGGGAAUCUUCCACAAUGGGCGAAAGCCUGAUGGAGCAACGCCGCGUGGGUGAAGAAGGUCUUCGGAUCGUAAAACCCUGUUGUUAGAGAAGAAAGUGCGUGAGAGUAACUGUUCACGUUUCGACGGUAUCUAACCAGAAAGCCACGGCUAACUACGUGCCAGCAGCCGCGGUAAUACGUAGGUGGCAAGCGUUAUCCGGAUUUAUUGGGCGUAAAGGGAACGCAGGCGGUCUUUUAAGUCUGAUGUGAAAGCCUUCGGCUUAACCGGAGUAGUGCAUUGGAAACUGGGAGACUUGAGUGCAGAAGAGGAGAGUGGAACUCCAUGUGUAGCGGUGAAAUGCGUAGAUAUAUGGAAGAACACCAGUGGCGAAAGCGGCUCUCUGGUCUGUAACUGACGCUGAGGUUCGAAAGCGUGGGUAGCAAACAGGAUUAGAUACCCUGGUAGUCCACGCCGUAAACGAUGAAUGCUAAGUGUUGGAGGGUUUCCGCCCUUCAGUGCUGCAGCUAACGCAAUAAGCAUUCCGCCUGGGGAGUACGACCGCAGGUGAACUCAAGGAAUUGACGGGGGCCCGCACAAGCGGUGGAGCAUGUGGUUUAAUUCGAAGCAACGCGAAGAACCUUACCAGGUCUUGACAUCUUCUGACAAUCCUAGAGAUAGGACUUUCCCUUCGGGGACAGAAUGACAGGUGGUGCAUGGUUGUCGUCAGCUCGUGUCGUGAGAUGUUGGGUUAAGUCCCGCAACGAGCGCAACCCUUAUUGUUAGUUGCCAGCAUUAAGUUGGGCACUCUAGCAAGACUGCCGGUGACAAACCGGAGGAAGGUGGGGAUGACGUCAAAUCAUCAUGCCCCUUAUGACCUGGGCUACACACGUGCUACAAUGGACGGUACAACGAGUCGCGAGACCGCGAGGUUUAGCAAAUCUCUUAAAGCCGUUCUCAGUUCGGAUUGUAGGCUGCAACUCGCCUACAUGAAGUCGGAAUCGCUAGUAAUCGC